CCUUUAAAUCUUAGCCCUUCGUUUUAUAUUUCCUCAUCAAGAAAACAAACCCAUCUCUUUCAAUGUGACCCAUUUUUCACUUGAUAAUAACCCCUUCUUUUUUAAUACCCUUUUUCUCACACUGAACACACAACACAAAGCCCCAACAGAUCACACACUCCCUCCCUUCUCCUUCCCAUUCUCCUUCCCCUUCCCCUUCCCCUUCCCCUUCCCCUUCCCCUUCUCCUUCUCCUUCUCCCUUGCUUGCUUAGGAGGGUGAAGGUGAGAAAAAAUAUCAAAAGGGAUGGAUCCAAGCAAUUCAAAAAUCGAUCCAUCAGAGUUUGAGGCGGUGCCUUCGGAGUUGAAAACCUUAGAAAGGGAGCUCGAGGAAAAGAUGAAGAAGAUGGAAGAAAUGAAGAAGAAGAUUGAGGGUAAGAAGGUUUGUUUAGAAAAGAAGAAGGAUGGUGUGAAGUUUUCAAGGAAAGAAAUGGAAGUUUUUAAAGGGUUAUGUGGAAAAUACAAGAGCUUGAGAAAGGAAUACAAUGAAGCAUGGGAGAAAGAGAGAAGAGAAUCCUAGGAAAUGUGUAAUUAAUGACCAAAGACUUGAAUGUCUCUAGCACAUGUUAUUUUAAUUAUUAAUAAAGAUCCAAAUUAAUUUAUUUA